rnacentral:tRNA from 1 species
UCCCUGGUGGCUCAGAUGGUAAAGCAUCUGCCUGCAAUGCGGGAGACCCGGGUUCAAUCCCUGGGUCGGGAA